CGCCGGCUCCUCGGGCCCUCGCCGCGCUGCCCCGACGGGCCUCCGGGACGCCAGGCCGACGUGGCCCAGGCCCGAGCCGCGAUCCCAGCCCUGAAGUAACGUGACCUCGGGAGAAGUCGCCGUUUCCAGUCGCCAGCCUGAAGGAAAGUACUUACUGAAAGAAAAUGGAGGCGUCAGUGUACACAACUCUUCUUGAUUUCUCUGCCUCUGAAUAUUGUUGCUUUUUACAAAUUCAGAAGAUAUGUCUGACAGAGAGGAGAGAGAGAGGCAGAGACACAGGAGGAGGAAGAAGCAGGCUCCAUGCUG